AAUAAGGAGAAUUCUUUCAUAUGGAAAGAGCUAGUACAAUCACAUAUUUGAAAGGAGAAACAAUAGGUACUGAACCGGAGGGAAAGGGCGAGGGUGUGCCAGCACCGGCCUGGUGAAUCCACAAUUCCAUUUCCUACCCAAGGUAAGUUUCCCGAAAUAAUGUAUAAACAAGCUGCACAUUACACCUCUAGCCAUCGUCUGCCCUUUCAAAUAUCUGGUCUACAUGAAAAGACAAAGAGGAAAGGCCAAAACAUAAACAAAAGGAAACAAAAACAAAACGCAACCCUCUUAAGAACCAAACAAAAAACCCCCAAAUCCUUUUUUACUACACAAGGCAUGAGGUCAAAAGCUUGAGGACAGCGUCCCCUUUAGACCAUGGGAGAAAGGCGUCCACACAGAACCUUGUCAGGAAUUCCCAUUCCGAGGCUUCAGAACAUGCUGAAGAUGGGGCUCGGGGGUGCCACGACCAUCCUGGAGGCCACCAACUGGGGUGAACUGGUGAACAGCAGGUCUCAAGUGCCUGAAUAUCACCAGCCCAACAGGCACUGGUGGCCCUGGUAGAGCAUGGCUGGGCCAGUGUCCAUCCCCAACAAUGAGCCACUCCUGUCCUGGAUGACUUCCUGUGUAGGUCCGUCACAUUUCGGACGAGAGCUGGCUUUCUGGAAGCCUACAUUCCCAUUCACGACAGAGCACACAUACCCUGGUAUCCUUGGUCUUCAAAGGCCAUUUCCAACAGACCCUCUAACUCAGGCCUGCUCUGCAGGAAGUGAAAAGGGACAAAUAAAGAUCUGAGGGGCAGCCUGCAGUUACUUGGCAGAGGGGAACCAAUGGCAGGGAGGAGCUCCACCACAGCUGCCACACUGCCGCAGCAGGCCAGGCCACAGCACAGCCCUGCACCUGUGUGCGCCCAGCUUCCAGAAGGUGUCACUGACUGUCCUGAAGGCAGAUCCAGAAGACAGGAGGGCGACAGCAUAGCUGGAGAGCACUGAUGUCAACGUUUAACAAGGUACCCCAGGGUCCCUAAAAGUGGCUGGAAGGACCAUGGCUUUGGAACUGAACCGAUUUUCUUGAAUGUGAAAUAAUAAAGUUAUCCUUUGUUUUUUCCCUUAAGGAACCUAGAGCUAUAGUGUUUAUGAAUUCCAAGUUUAAAAACAAUACGAAUGUUUAAAAAAAAAAAAAAAAAAAAA